AUUGAACGCUAGCGGGAUGCCUUACACAUGCAAGUCGAACGGAGUGGCGAACGGGCGAGUAAUGUAUCGGAACGUGCCCAGUAGCGGGGGCUAACUACGCGACAGCGUAGCUAAUCCCGCAUACUACUGGAGUGGCCGAUGUUGGAUUAGCUAGUUGGUGGGGUAACGGCUAACCAAGGCGACGAUCCGUAGCUGGUUUGAGAGGACGACCAGCCACACUGGAACUGAGACACGGCCCAGACUCCUACGGGAGGCAGCAGUGGGGAAUUUUGGGCAAUGGGGGAAACCCUGAUCCAGCAAUGCCGCGUGAGCGAUGAAGGCCUUCGGGUUGUAAAGCACUGUUGGCAGGAAAGCGGUACCUGCAGAAUAAGCACCGGCUAACUACGUGCCAGCAGCCGCGGUAAUUC
rnacentral:rRNA from 1 species